rnacentral:rRNA from 1 species
AGCAGCCGCGGUAAUUCCAGCUCCAAUAGCGUAUAUUAAAGUUGUUGCAGUUAAAAAGCUCGUAGUUGAAUUUCGGGGUUAGUAGGUUGGUCAUGCCUCUGGUAUGUACUGGUCUCACUGAUUCCUCCUUCCUGAUGAGCCGUAAUGCCAUUAAUUUGGUGUUGCGGGGAAUUUGGACUGUUACUUUGAAAAAUUAGAGUGUUUAAAGCAAGCUAACGCUUGAAUACAUUAGCAUGGAAUAAUGAAAUAGGACGUUCGAUCCUAUUUUGUUGGUUUCUAGGAUUGACGUAAUGAUUAAUAGGGAUAGUUGGGGCAUUAGUAUUCAAUUGUCAGAGGUGAAAUUCUUGGAUUUAUUGAAGACUAACUACUGCGAAAGCAUUUGCCAAGGAUGUUUUCAUUAAU